rnacentral:rRNA from 1 species
GUCGAGAAUCUUUCACAAUGGGGGCAACCCUGAUGGAGCGACGCCGCGUGGAGGAUAAGGUCUUCGGAUUGUAAACUCCUGUCAUGCGUGAACAAGGUUGCUUGGUUAAUACCUGGGCAAAUUGAUGGUAACGCAAGAGGAAGAGACGGCUAACUCUGUGCCAGCAGCCGCGGUAAUACAGAGGUCUCAAGCGUUGUUCGGAAUCACUGGGCGUAAAGGGUGCGUAGGUGGCGUGGUAAGUCAGAGGUGAAAGCCCGGGGCUCAACCUCGGAACUGCAUCCGAUACUGCCGUGCUAGAGUACUGGAGAGGUGACUAGAAUUCUCGGUGUAGCGGUGAAAUGCGUAGAUAUCGAGAGGAAUACCAGAGGCGUAGGCAGGUCACUGGACAGUUACUGACACUGAGGCACGAAGGCCAGGGGAGCGAACGGGAUUAGAAACCCGGGUAGUCC